GAAAUACUCCCUACGUCUCAAAAUUCUUGUCUUAAAUUUGUCUAGAUACAGAUGUACCUAAUACUAAAAUGUGACUUCAUACAUCCGUAUUUGGACAAAUCUAAAACAAGAAUUUUUGGACGGAUGGAGUAAUUC
rfam:Triticum aestivum genome assembly, contig: Triticum_aestivum_CS42_TGACv1_scaffold_591993_7BS